AUGGAUCAAGUGCUGGUUGCUUAUGCUUGCAGAGUUAGGGUUGGCCGUCGUCCCCCAGACCGCACACCAUGUCCUGACCGGAUCGGAGCCCUCAGCAAUCCAUCAAAGCUUAUGCAGAGAACAGGGGAGAUCAUGUUAUCAACCCAAAGUUGGCUACAACUUUUGAUUCUCUUGGGGAAACCAAAUGCCGAAAACACAAGGUCAAGCCGGUGUGGAUGUCCGGCCUUGAUUCGUUUGUUGCGUACUGAUGACAACGGCUGGUACAUCACGGAGCACAGGGUGACACACAACCACCCUUUGACUCCAACCAAAGAUCAAGCAUACGAUGAUGUCAGGAAGACAAUUGAAGUCUUUGCAGACAUGAGAACAACGGAUCCAGACUUCAUGUUCAGGAUCCAAGCAGAUACUGAGAGCCGGAUAAAGAACCUCAUGUGGACCAACGAGCGGAGCCGAAUGCAGUACAAGUACUUUGGAGAUAAUCAAGCCAUGGAGGCGGCCAUAAAGAAUGUAAUGCCGAACACAUCCCACCGAUGGUGCAAAUGGCACGUCUUGAAGAAAGCAAAGGAGUCCCUCAGACCCCUGUACACAAAACGGAAUGAGUUCCGAGCAGAGUUCCAUAAGGUUGUCGAUCACAUGCUGACGAUAGAUGAGUUUGAGACAGCAUGGGAGAUGUUGAUUGAAAAGUACAACUUAAGGUCACAUCCGUACAUGAAACAACUUUACAAAAUCAGGAAGAAAUGGGCGAAGCCAUAUUUAAAGGGGGUGUUUUGUGCCAAGAUGACGAGUACUCAGAGAAGAGAAACCGCCAAGAGCAUGCUGAAGACAUAUAUACCACCUGCAUGCCCGAUGCAUAUGUUCGUGAAGCAUUACAUGCGGUUGCAGUUUGACCGGGACGCAGAGGAGAGCUACGAAGAGAAACGGACCAAGAUUGAUGGUGCCGUGAUGAGGGCUAACCUGUCAAUUGAACGUCAUGCGAGCAAGAUAUAUACUCGUGCGAUGUUCAAACAGUUUGGCCAAAUCCUCUAUGAAGCAGGAGCUUACCAAGUGGAGGAGAUUGAGAAGAACAGGGUGUACAGGACAGAGCAUACUGAACCAGAGACAAGGGAGAAAUGGCGCAGGGCGGUCUACGAGGUUAAAAUGAUAGAUAAGGGGGUUGAAUUUGACUGUGAAUGUGGUAAAUUUGAUCACAUGGGUUUGCUGUGCUGCCACAUUCUAAAGGUCAUGUAUUAUGUAGGAAUCAAGGAGAUACCCAAGAAGCACAUCAUGAAGAGGUGGACGAGAGACGUGCGAGAUGCGGUGCAACAGGCUCCAACCUUGUACAGCAAAGCUGUUGAACUAGUCAGUCUUGGAACUGCUAGCGCAGAGGCCCGUGAUAGGUUAAGGGGGAUAUUCAAGGAAGCCAUGGAGAUCAUGGCACCAUACAAAGAAGCAAGAGGUGGCCAAGGGCUCGAGGAUCGACCAACCUCAGAAAGGCCAAUGGUGGAUGAACGACCAGCAGGUGAUUGCUCCGGAGACGACAGCGAUACGGUGUCGGCAACACAAUACCAACUCGUCGGAGUUCCUGAUCAGCCCAGAAGGCCAGCAAGCUGCGACGAAGCACCAGAUGAGAUGAGCAAACUCGGCAGGUUUUGCAGCAUUUGCCGGGGUCAAGGGCAUAAGAGGACGACUUGUCCGGAGAGGGGUGACCUGCCAAAGCAGCCGAGGAAGCAGGGGAGGUGUAGUAACUGUGGUGUUGCUGGACACCGUAGGAGCACUUGUUCUGAGCCCCCUGGAUUUUAA
rnacentral:rRNA from 1 species